rnacentral:lncRNA from 1 species
UUCGGAUUUUGGGUCAAAUCUCAAGCUUUUGUCUGGGCUGGCCUAGAUGAUACUCGAACCCCAUUGCUUGGAUCCGGACAGAGCGGGUAUUUUUGACACCCCAAAUUUGGACUCAAGAAAAUUGCAGCUCAAAGCUCUUUUGUUUGCUUUACCAUUUUUAGAUUUUAUUUUAAAAUGUAGAAGAACUUUAACCUCAAACAGUCAUCUAAAAUAAAAUUACUUGAAACAUUCGAUUAAGCCUUGAGAACUCAUUCUCUUCAACUAAAAUGAUAACUAAUAAUUAUUAAAGAUGCAAUUGAAAAUGCUUUUAACAUGUUAAAUUGCUUUCAAACUGUUUAUAAAUGCUUAUGUUAGUUACAGUGAUUAAUUGCAAAUGCUUUUAACAUGUUAACAUGCAUUUUGAGUAAAGUGUUUUCAGAUUAAAAACAGCACUUUAAAUACUUCAAAAAGUAUUUCACGAGAUCUAUUAUCCUUUUUUUCUUCCGAUUGAAAAAUGCACUUUACGUGCGAGCGUAUGUUGUAAAUAUGAGCAAUUUAAGAGAUCUAGGUAGUGUUUGAUUUGAAGAAAAUUAAGGAAAAGAGAGGAGAGGAAAGUGGAAGAAAGGAGAGGAGAGUCUAUUGAAAUUCUUUUCUAAUGUUUGAUUUAUUAUAAAAUUAUACAAAGAAAUGAAAUACCUUAACUUUAAUUUGGACAAUUUCACCCUUUAGUGUUAAACUUUUGAUAUUUAUCAUAAAUAUA